rnacentral:tmRNA from 1 species
GGGGGUGACAGGGUUCGACUUGAGCUGAUUUAAUAAGAGCAGCAUGUCGAGGUGGUCAGGAGGCCUCGUUAAACACCUGGCAUAUAAAUAAACGCUGAAACAAAAGUUCCAGCAACAGUAGAUGCACUACUUAAGAAAAUUGGUGAGGGUAUCUCUCAUCCAGUUUUCGGAGUAGCGCCGCUACUGCCCAGUGUUGUCUUAAGAUAAGGCAACCCGCUUUUUAAUCUGUGUCUGCGGGGUUAAAAAGCGUCGUUAGCAGGCUCGUCUGGCUUGGUUUGCUUUUGACAAGCCGGGUUAAAUUUCCAAAAGCUGCCUCUUUAAUAUCCUGUCUGCUGGUAAACUAGAGAGAAAGAUUUAAAAACAGACUAAGCAUGUAGAUACUCUUAUGGGUUACUUGAGGACGCGGGUUCAAUUCCCGCCACCUCCACCA